AUUCUGCACUGCAUGCUGUUUACACGCAACGAAGAAAAUGAUGUAAUUUGUCUAGCCUUCUUCGCCUUCGUUACAAAUAUUGUAUUCGCGAUGUUUCGUCUUUGUUUCACCGAUGUGUUAAGAACAUUAAAUAAUCAAAAUGUGGCUUCUCAGAGGUUUACCCUAUCCAGUCUUAAGUAUUACCAAAUAAGUUUUUGCCAUACAGCACCUGCUGAAACAGUCGUUCAUCACGGAGCCCAAGGAACCGGGAGAAAUUUGCAUCCUGUCCAAGCAAGAGCUAUCAUCAAUCAAACAUUUGUUUCAGUUUCACAUAAACUGAAACUUCCUUCGCUUAAGCCAGUUUACACUACAGUUCCAAUCCAUGGCAAAGGAAACUCCAUGUGGAAGACUGUAUUAACUCUUAGAUGGCCAGAAAAACUAAGUUUUGAAGCAAUCGGCAGGAAUAAAAAAGAGGCAGAAGAACUUGUUGCCCAACAAGCUUUGACUGUUCUGCAUGAUUCCAAGAUUAUUUCACCUAGUGGAAAGUUGUUGUGUGAACUAAGCACACAUAGGACUCUUCAGUCAACAGAUAAACUAACUAUUAUCAAUGAUGAUGCAACAGCAGAUGCUAGUGGCUCUUGUAUUAAACAAGAGGAAAUGGCAGCAAUUGAGGCAAAAUUUCCCAAUUUUAAAUCAACCUUGCUUAAUUGUUUUAUGAAGGUUUCAAAUCACAUGAAGAACGCCAAUUUUAUCGCUCGACCGGCUUUCAAGCGUGUGAAAAAUGGAUCAAUUUCCGACUGGCAAGCAAGCUAUAGCUUGAAAUGGCCUGAGCCGAAGGAAUUUUCAGGAAUCGGAACAAAUCGGGCUGAAGCUGAAAAAUUAGCGAUUCUCUCUGCACUUCAUUGGUUGACGGAAAAUAAUUUCUUGCAUCAAAAUGGCUAUCCUAUUUUAUAUUCCAAUGAAGAGCUCAGUAAAAUGAAAAGCGCUGUAACAAGUCCUGCUAUUGUCAAAUUACCUCCAGCAUUGGUGAAUGAGCUUGACGAAAUUCUGAAUGAUUUCAAAAAAAUAAAGCCGUUAAUGGAUGAGGAUCAAAUGUUCUUUGAACGAGAAACUGCAGCCGCAAAUAGCUUGAUUUCAGAAGAUGAAAAGAUGAUGGAGGAGAUUGACGAGGAACGUGACGUGGAAGAAUCCAUUGACAAUAUACCUACAUCGUCAAGUAAUGAAUAUGGAUACAAUAAAGAUGAUGAAUCAUCAGUUGAUCCAAUUACCGGACGUAAAGUCCUACCGCUAAGCUCUGCGGAGAUCGAAAAAAGAUCCAAUGAGUUAUUUCUCAGUGCACAAACGAGGAUAAUAGAGAAAGGUGGUCCAGUCAUUCCUUUUCUACCAAUCGCGGAAAAGCGCGAAGCCAUUUUAGAUUUAAUCGAACAAAAUAGGGUUGUUGUGCUGAGUGGUGGUACCGGAUGUGGCAAGAGUACACAAAUGCCCCAGUAUUUACUGGAUUCUUAUGCGCUGAAACAUCGUGGCACUGAAUGUAAUAUAAUCGUUACACAGCCUCGUCGGUUGGCUGCGCUUUCUUUAGCUCAAACUGUUGCCAAUUAUCGAGGAGAAAAAAUAGGUGAGAGUGUUGGCUACCAGGUGCGACUGAAUUCCGUACUACCGAGGCAUCCACUGGGUCGUAUACUCUUCUGUUCAACCGGAAUUCUUUUGCGAAGACUUCAAGCUUGUCCAGACAUGUCGGGCGUAUCCCACCUAAUAAUCGAUGAAGUGCACGAACGCGACUGUUUGACCGAUUUUACGCUAGUUAUUCUUAAAGAUCUUUUGCAAUCGAACCCCUUGUUAAAGGUCAUCCUGAUGAGUGCCUCUCUAAAUACGGAUCUGCUGUCACGUUAUUUUGAUUCGGCUCCGCUGAUCCACGUUGAAGGAAGAACGUUUCCUGUUCAGAGAAUUUUUUUACCUGAAGUCCAAAGUUUGACCAGAGGUUUUGGAGAAAGAAAUAAUACCACGAAUAUCAAACCAAUGGUUGAUCAAGCUUUAGUAGUGAAACUAGUUCGUUAUAUCGACAUAAACAAACCAUCACAAGGUUCCAUUUUAAUUUUUCUACCUGGUUGGGCAGAAAUUAAAAGCCUUCACUCUAAGUUAAAGGAAUUUUAUCCUAGUGAUGAAACUCAUUGGAUAUUACCGGUGCAUUCCCGACUUUCACAGGUUGAGCAAGAGCGAAUAUUUGAUCGCCCACCUGAGGGUGUCCGGAAAAUCGUUCUAGCAACCAAUAUAGCUGAAACUAGCUUGACGAUCAAUGAUUGCGUCUACGUGAUCGAUCCUGGUGUUCAUAAAGAACUAAGGUACAAUUCACAACGGGGUUCUGCUGUAAUGGAAAAUCAAUGGAUAGCAAAAGCUAAUGCACAACAACGAGCUGGACGUGCCGGACGUGUUCAACCAGGAGAAGCAUUCCAUCUCUACUCCGAAGAGAAGCAUGAAGAAAUGGAGCGGUUUCCGCAGGCAGAAAUUCUUCGAAUACCUCUGGAGAAGGUUGUCAUGGAUAUUAAAGCGUAUAAUGAAAAUUUGAAGUCGAUUGAUUUCUUAAGCCGGACGCUAGAGCCUCCUUCACACCGAGCAAUCCGAGUUGCAAUCCGAGAACUAGAGUCGAUAGGUGCAUUGGAUGAGCAUGAACGACUUACACCACUGGGACGUCGUAUUGCUCAGUUUUCAACACAUCCCCGUUUGGCCAAAUCACUCGUGUUUGCUACUUUUUUUCGCUGUUUGGACCCAGUGGCAUCUAUAGUGGCAGGACUCAGCUCAGCACGUGAGGGCUGGUCGGUGGAAUCGACAGUUGACAACCAAAGACAAAUUAUUCGACAAGCGAAAUAUCGAUUCCAUCCCACGAGCGAUCACUUGGCUUUGGCCAGUUUGAUGAGGCAAUUUCGAAAUCAACGUGGUCGGUAUGAGGUCGAUGAAUUCUGCGAAAAUUUCAAGCUAAUGUGAAAUCACUUUACUUCCUCAAAGGUGUGAGGAGCUUGUUAGUUGACCAUUUGAAGGAUGCGAAUUUACUCGGUGAUAGAUCACAUGCCGAUUCCAUUCGUCAUCCGGUGAAUCAACAUGCAGACAAUGAAGAAAUGAUAAAAGCGGCUCUCGUCAUGGGGUUUGGUGAUCGCAUUCUCCGAGUGCGUAGGGGGAAGAUUGUCAAGGGGAUUAUCAAAUCUAACGAAUUAGUCAUUUUAAGCGAGAAACACGGUCCCGUUCACAUAGUGCCUGAUUCAGUCAACGCAGACGGUAAAAUCAAAUCCGAUGUCAUGAUCUACUUCAACGGGAUUUUUUCAACGGAACGAAAAGCUUUCGUUGUAAGAGAUACAACCCAGAUUUCAAAUAUGACUGCCGUGUUAACGGCUGGAAGAUCAUUCACUGCAGGGAGUCAGUUGGACGAAGUUAGCGACAGUUCUUCUGCAAGUAUUACCAUCGACGAGAGUGAAAAUUUACAAUUCGCUUGUUCCCCAAGAGAAACGCGGUUACUAAUGGAACUUCGAGAGUCGUUGUCUGAUACCUGUGAUUUUCUGCUGCGGACUGCAGGAUUACGUCAAAUGAAUGAGCUUACGUCAGUCGUAGGCAAAUUCCAUGGUCGACAAGUUGACAUGCUAGCUCGUUUGUUAUCAACAAAAAACAACUAGGUAAAAGUGAUUAGAUAAUGAUAAUUUAACAAUAAACGUCAGUUUUGUUAUCAA
rnacentral:misc_RNA from 1 species